rnacentral:rRNA from 1 species
GCGAGAGACCGAUAGCGAACAAGUACCGUGAGGGAAAGAUGCAAAGAACUUUGAAAAGAGAGUUAAAAAGUACCUGAAAUCGCUGAAAGGGAACCGAUUGCAACCAGUGUAGCUGGCUUCUAUUUUCCUGUUCUUUGGGACAGGUUAGUAGGUGUUAUGCUGGUCCACAUCAGUUUAAACUAUUGCAAACGUCCUUGGGGGAGGUAGGGUUUGGUUUCGGCUAAAUCUGUUAUAUCCCCAGGUGUACCGCAUGUGGUUGAGACUGAGGUGCCUAC